CGAGCAGCUGGUGCGGGCGGAGGCCGCGCUGGCGUCGCGGUGGGGCACCCGCUCGGUGCUGGGGCUGGUCGA
rnacentral:tRNA from 1 species